AUGUUACAAUGUAACACUCAGCACUGCUGCUGCUUCUGCGGCUCCUACAAUGUAACAGCACCGUGAACGGAGACACAGCUUAAGAAGUGACCGAUUCCGAUGAGCCGACCUCCAGAGUGGGAAAUGCGUUUUUAUUCUCCUGCGUGAUCCCUUCCACCGCCCUAGAAGUCCCGUUGACUGGAUUGUAAAGUGUCUUCGCUCACUGGCUUUACAGGAUUGAGUUUGUGUGGGUUAUUGGAACCGGAGGCCCCGUUGAGUUGAAUGUGUGUGCUGGGCUGGAGUGGGUCAGUAUGAGGCUGCCGCUGUUGCUCUGAGCGGGCUCUCUGCCUUGGGUCUCUUACGAAAUAACAUUUACUUAUAAAACUGGACACCCCUGGAGCAGUUUAUGACGACUCUGGUUGGACCGUAAUGACCGCACGCUUCCGGUUGCCUGCAGGCAGAUCCUACAAUGUCCGGGCGACGGAGCUGGCACGCGACAGGCAGCGCACCGAGGUGGUCUGCAACAUUCUUCUUUUGGACAACACUGUCCAGCCUUUUAAAGUCAAUAAGCACGAUCAAGGACAGAUCCUACUGGACGCUGUCUUCAAGCACCUGGAGCUGACCGAGAGAGACUAUUUUGGGUUGCACCUGGCUGACGACUCCUCUGAUAGCCCGAGGUGGCUGGAUCCAAAUAAACCCAUAAGAAAGCAAUUAAAAAGGGGCUCUCCACAUCAUCUGAACUUCCGGGUGAAAUUUUUUGUGAGUGAACCCAACAAACUUCAGGAAGAAUACACACGGUACCAGUAUUUUCUACAGAUUAAGCAGGACAUACUCAGUGGAAGACUGCCUUGUCCGCACAAUACUGCCGCACUCCUGGCAUCAUACUCUGUUCAGUCUGAGCUGGGUGAUUACUGUGAGGCUGAGAAUUUGCCAGGAAACCUGUCUGAGUUCUGCUUCAUCCCCAACCAGCCUCAGGGCUUUGAAAAAGAGGUCACCAAACAUCACCAGCAACACAGUGGACUUACCCCAGCACAGUCUGAAUUCAAUUACCUGGACACGGCACGAACGUUGGAACUUUAUGGAGUGGAACUGCACUAUGCAAGGGAUCAAAGCAACACAGAGAUUUUCAUAGGCUUGAUGUCAGCUGGCAUUGCCAUUUACAAGAACAGGGUACGAAUCAACUACUUUCCAUGGUUGAAGAUUGUAAAAAUAUCUUUUAAAUGCAAACAGUUUUUCAUCCAGCUGAGAAAAGAGGCGCAUGAGACGAGAGAUACAUUGCUCGGUUUCAACAUGGUAAACUACAGGGCCUGUAAGAACCUCUGGAAGGCCUGUGUUGAAAACCACACCUUCUUUCGGCUAGAUCGGCCCGUUGCUCUGCAGAAGAACUUCUUUGCACACUAUUUCAGUUUGGGCUCCAGGUUCCGAUACUGUGGGAGGACGGAAGCACAAUCUGUUCAGUAUGGCAAGGAGAAGGGAAUCAAGGACAGAGUGUUUGCAAGAUCUCCCAGCAAACCCCUGGGCAGAAAGUUGAUGGGUGUGACAGACUGGGAAUCAGUGAGCAGGAACUCACUGUCUGAAGAGAGGCUGGAGACCCGUAGCCUGCCUACCCGCUCACCCCCUGGGACGCCCAACCAGAACUCCUUAUUUGUGCAAGAGGGUCCUCGGCUACGGCCCUCUUCCAUGGGUCACCUGGUGGAAAAUGUCAUCCAUGCCUCCCCCAGCCUUCCUCUUUUCUCCAAUCACAAAUCAGCUUCCUCUACACAAGCUAAUAGCAUCAGCCUGGAGUCUACACCGUCUCCGGAAGGAGUUGAAGGCCCGCCCCCUGCCCUCCCACCCAAACAGUCCAGGAAGAACCUGAGCCAGCUUAUACUGUCCCACUCCCAACAGGACUUGGACAACCACAUCAAUCAAAUGUACAAUAUCCCCAUAGCAACAGACAAGGCCACGCCCAACGGAGUCAUUCCUCAUGACAAUCUUGUCCUGAUCAAGAUGAAACCGGAUGAGAAUGGGAGAUUUGGGUUUAACGUGAAGGGCGGCUCUGAUCAGAAGAUGCCCAUUAUCGUGUCUCGAGUAGCGCCUGGAACAUCGGCUGAUUUGUGUGUGCCUCGGCUGAAUGAGGGCGAUCAGGUUGUGCUGAUCAACGGUCGAGAUAUUGCAGAGCACACGCAUGAUCAGGUGGUCAUGUUCAUCAAGGCCAGCUGUGAGAGCCACUCGGGGGAGCUCAUCCUGUUGGUGCGACCCAAUGCUAUCUACGAUGUAGUUGAGGAGAAACUGGAGACAGAGCCAGAUUUUCAGUACAUCCCAGAGAAAUCUCCCACAGACCCAUCACAGCUGGACCAGGAUGCCUGGAGGGACUCAAUGCUGCAGUUAAAGGAGGGUCUCAACAGUGCUACUAUGCUGGCCCAGUUUGAUCAACUGUAUCGGAAAAGGCCUGGAAUGACAAUGUCAUGUGCCAAAUUACCUCAGAAUCUUUCCAAAAACCGCUACAGAGACAUCUCACCUUAUGAUGCAACUAGGGUCAUCUUGAAAGGCACAGAUGACUACAUCAAUGCAAAUUACAUCAAUAUGGAAAUUCCUGCCUCCAGUCUCAUAAACCGCUAUAUCGCCUGCCAGGGGCCGCUGCCCAAUACGUGCCCGGAUUUCUGGCAGAUGACGUGGGAGCAGGGCUCCUCUUUGGUAGUCAUGCUCACUACUCAGGUCGAGAGAGGACGUGUGAAGUGCCAUCAGUACUGGCCGAACCCCUCAGGUAGCGCUACAUACGGCGGCUUUCAGGUUUCCUGCCAGACUGAGGAAGGAAACUCUGCUUUCUUGGUUAGGGAUAUGAUUCUUACUCACAUUGAGAGUGGGGAAAGCAGGGAAUUGACCCAAAUCCAGUACCUGGCAUGGCCUGAUCAUGGUGUACCAGAUGACUCAACGGACUUCUUGGAUUUCGUUGCUCUGGUCCGAAGUAAACGAGCUGGGAAGGACGAGCCUGUUGUGGUCCAUUGCAGCGCUGGGAUUGGUCGGACGGGAGUGCUCAUCACCAUGGAGACGGCAAUGUGUCAGAUGGAGUGCGGCCAGCCGGUGUAUCCAUUAGAAAUUGUGAGAACUAUGCGGGAUCAGAGGGCCAUGAUGAUUCAGACUCCUAGCCAGUUCAAGUUUGUGUGUGAGGCCAUACUGAAGGUUUACGAGGAGGGCCUGGUGAAACCGCUCGUGUCCACGCUGUACGAAUCCAACUAAUGCAAUGCCAGCUUUUCCCGAAAAUGAUGGUGAAAUUCACUUCUUCACAUGGUGGUAUCACAGCUCCGUGUCAGAGCGAUGGAGAAGUAUAUCGAGCCAGGAACACAGGACAUAAACCAAGCACUGCUGCACUUUACGAUGGCAAAGAGACCAUAUGCCAGGCUUCAACGAGGAGAGAAAAAAUGAACAAAGUUUCACAGGACAUCUCUAGUUGAAUGCCGAGUUGAAUCCAUGCCUGUACUCUUUGUAAGUUACUGUCUACUUUUACAGUCAAUCAUAUGAUGUUUCUUUGUGGUCAUAAUUGCUGGAGAACCUUGGUUUUAGGACCAAAAAUUCCAUUCUGUGCUCAACAGGUUACAGGUUUUACCAAAAGACAUUUAUAACAGGAAUAUGGCAUGGAAAUGGGAGAAACUACAUGCCUCCUUGUGGGACAGCACUUUUUCAACAAAGAUGUACAAUUGUAGACUGGUGUUAAUGUUUUAUUUGCUGCAAAAAACAGGAAGGUCAAGUUGUGCCACUUGUCCAUUUUUAUGAAA